UACGUAGGGUGCGAGCGUUAAUCGGAAUUACUGGGCGUAAAGCGUGCGCAGGCGGUUAUAUAAGACAGAGGUGAAAUCCCCCGGGCUUAACCUGGGAACUGCGUUUCUAACUGGCAGGCUUGAGUGUGGCAGAGGGGGGUGGAAUUCCACGUGUAGCAGUGAAAUGCGUAGAGAUGUGGAGGAACACCGAUGGCGAAGGCAGCCCCCUGGGUUAGCACUGACGCUCAUGCACAAAAGCGUGGGGAGCAACAGG
rnacentral:rRNA from 1 species